GGGGAGAUGGCUUAGUGGGUAAGGGGCCUGCCUCACAAGCAUGGGGCCUGGGUUUGAUUCCCAAUAUCUCCA
rnacentral:tRNA from 1 species